rnacentral:rRNA from 1 species
GACGAACGCUGGCGGCGUGGAUUAGGCAUGCAAGUCGAACGGUAGGAUACCUUCGGGUAUCUGAGAGUGGCGAACGGGUGAGUAACACGUAGGUGAUCUACCCUCAAGAUUGGGACAACCCAGGGAAACUUGGGCUAAUACCGGAUGAAAGCAGCAGUGAUGUUGUUUGAAAGGUGGCGUAAGCUGCCGUUUGGGGAUGAGCCUGCGCUCUAUUAGUUAGUUGGCGGGUAAAGGCCCACCAAGGCGAUGAUAGAUAGGCGGCCUUAACGGGUGGUCGCCCACACUGGGAUUGAGAUACGGCCCAGACUCCUACGGGAGGCAGCAGUCGAGAAUAGUCUACAAUGGCCAAAGGCUGAUAGUGCGACGCCGCGUGAACGAAGAAGCCCUUCGGGGUGUAAAGUUCUUUUAUAUGUGAGCAGUGCUUCUAUGUGAACAGCAUGGGGAGAGAGAUAUUAGCAUAUGAAUAAGCAACGGCUAACUCCGUGCCAGC